GGGGGAUAACUACUGGAAACGGUAGCUAAUACCGCAUAACGUCGCAAGACCAAAGAGGGGGACCUUCGGGCCUCUUGCCAUCGGAUGUGCCCAGAUGGGAUUAGCUAGUAGGUGGGGUAACGGCUCACCUAGGCGACGAUCCCUAGCUGGUCUGAGAGGAUGACCAGCCACACUGGAACUGAGACACGGUCCAGACUCCUACGGGAGGCAGCAGUGGGGAAUAUUGCACAAUGGGCGCAAGCCUGAUGCAGCCAUGCCGCGUGUAUGAAGAAGGCCUUCGGGUUGUAAAGUACUUUCAGCGGGGAGGAAGGGAGUAAAGUUAAUACCUUUGCUCAUUGACGUUACCCGCAGAAGAAGCACCGGCUAACUCCGUGCCAGCAGCCGCGGUAAUACGGAGGGUGCAAGCGUUAAUCGGAAUUACUGGGCGUAAAGCGCACGCAGGCGGUUUGUUAAGUCAGAUGUGAAAUCCCCCG
rnacentral:rRNA from 1 species